GACGCUGCCUCAACGUGGCCUGAUGAGCGGUGCCAUGUCUGCGCCCAGGAUCCAAACCCUGGGCCGCCGCAGCGGAGUGCGCGAACUUAGCCACUCAGCCACAGAGCCGGCCCCAGAAUGUACUCUUUGAAGGUAAGAACCAAUGCCUCUCUUCUUAUGACACCAGUACUUUUUGAAGAUAAGUGUUCUUUCCCAUGACACUGGGGUCAUGCUGACCCACUGUGUAUGUACUAAUCUAUAAGAAAGUAUCUCCUUGAACCCUUGAAAGAAUGUACCCCUGUCACACUUGAUGUAUGUCUGUUUGGAAAUGGUAUAUAAUGGUGCUGAAAAAUCACUCUUCAUCACAGCACUUACGAAGGCUGCACUCCCAGGCUGCAGUCCUCAGCUUGGCUCGAAUAAAACUCCCCGCUGUAGAAUGAUUAUUGAUUAUUCGUGUCAACAGCUCGACCAUCUAGCACUUCAUCAGCAUAGUCUACAAAGAGAACACACACACUCAGCUGUAUGGACUAGGAAGUGGGUCAACAAGAGGAUACUUGGAGCAACUGCCUUGUGAUGAACUGAAGCACACAAAUCUUCUACAAAAAUGCUCUAGGGAGAAUCUUAAGAAACGCAAUGUAGUUAUGGAAAGUCAUCCACUGGAAGACAGAUGCGAGACAGAUCGCAGAACCACAGAAAAAGAAUUGGAACAAAGAGCUUCCGCUGUUGACAAUUCAAGACUAAGACUGACCAAGAUCAGGUACAAGUUCUUGAACAAAUAACUGUUCUUCUAGAAGUCUACAGCUU